rnacentral:lncRNA from 1 species
AGAUGGACCAAUUGUGCCCAUGCCUUGUGAUCUCCUGUGUUUAUUUUAAAAAGUGGGGAGGAGAUCUGGCCCAGGACUUUACAAGAGCUGCUAUCCCCAACCAUGAUAGCCAGCAUGGGUGAACUUAAAGACCUGCUUCCCUAAAGAGCUGUGAAGGCAGAAGAUGGACGUCACGCACUUCCCUGAAGGCCUGAAUUACACACAGAACCCCACAAACACUGUGAGCUACUUGACAUCCCAGAUAGGACCCCCUCAGUAGAUUCAUAGGUGGGAAACGGAGCCCAGCCAAAGCAAGCCUGCUGACACUGCGCACUGUUGCGUGGGAGUGGACGCGCUCCAUGAGGUGUGCUGUUGCAGUGUUUGGGAAAAGGGUGAGAAACCGAAGGCCCACGCACGAAACCCAGUGGCGGCUCCGAACUCACCCACGUCCAUCAAGAGCGGAGCUACCAGUGGCCAAGUCACUGAUAAAGUCAGCCUGCCAGCAAGGGUUAGGUAAUUAAUACCACUCACCUCCCUCCUCCCUGACGCUGAUGUUUUUACCUAACCGAAGCCACUAAUCAUGCAGUAAUGAUUUCUUUCCCUCUGGUCAAAGGAAAAAUAGAUCCGUUCUGUAGAAAUGUUGCGGGCUCCGAGGGU